GACGAACGCUGGCGGCGUGCUUAACACAUGCAAGUCGAGCGGAAAGGCCCUUCGGGGUACUCGAGCGGCGAACGGGUGAGUAACACGUGAGUAAUCUGCCCCUAGCUCCAGGAUAGCUCCGGGAAACCGGGAUUAAUACCGGAUACGACUCCUUCGGACAUCUGAAGGAGUGGAAAGAUUUAUCGGCUAGGGAUGAGCUCGCGGCCUAUCAGCUUGUUGGUGGGGUAACGGCCUACCAAGGCGACGACGGGUAGCCGGCCUGAGAGGGCGACCGGCCACACUGGGACUGAGACACGGCCCAGACUCCUACGGGAGGCAGCAGUGGGGAAUAUUGCGCAAUGGGCGAAAGCCUGACGCAGCGACGCCGCGUGGGGGAUGAAGGCCUUCGGGUUGUAAACCCCUUUCAGCAGGGACGA
rnacentral:rRNA from 1 species